UAAAUAACUUGACUUACCUCAGUAGGUUGUAAUGCCCAAUAACAGCUUCAUAUCUUAAUGUUCUGUAUCACAGUUGUAUAUUUAGGAUGUCGGUGACAGUCAGAAGAAGGCGUUUCGUCAGUGGAUAACAUGUUUUAUGACGAGCCAAUAAUUCAUAAAGUGAAACCAUAAUGUCAGGGACAGGGCUCCUGGAUAUUUGAUGCCCCACUCCACCCUCAUUAUCACAAAUACCUGCAACACAAGACAUCCAGGGAGAGGCAGCUCACCUUUUCUUACAAACAUUCCUCCAAUUUUCACUGAUAUUGCAAGAUGGCGAGCCGCUCUAAGAUGACUGAAGCCCUGAGACAAGAGGUUGCCCAGAUGAAGGCCAAAGGGAUGACCCUUUCAGCCACUGCAAGAGAAGCUGGUCGUUCCAAAUCUGUGAUUUCUCGAAUCCUGCAGGUUUACAAUGACACUAAAGGCCCUGGUAUAAUUCAAGCGAAAUCGAAGAAUGAACUGAUGUGACAUCAUUUUGACCAAAAUCCGGCCAGAACGAAGUUCGUUUUGUAAGUUUGAAACGGCUUGCCAAAGCAAACUUUCCGGAAAAGUACGCACCAGCUGCAAAACACCUUCGUACUACAAUUGGUCCAUGACGAUUACGUCAUAGGAGGUGUGCUCUGAGGCUCCUACUUCUUGCACCCGGUACUCUUCUAUGGGUUAAUUUCAUCUGUCAAGUCCCUGGAGGUGAGAUGUCGGGGGUAAAAACUGAACACAGUGGAGAGCUGCUUUAUAGUAGUAAAUUAAAUUUUGCUUUUGAUGAAAUGAGACACUGACACUUUUUUUUAUGUUUAAUACUGCUGUUUGCAUUUAAGCUAUAUAUUGAAUAAAGUGCCAUGUUAAUACACGUGACAUGACUUCACGGGAGUGCUAAUUUGCAUAACUACAUACCCAUGUCGCUAUGAACAGAUGCUUUUUUUAAAUGCUUGCUUUUCAAUUUUUGUUGUGUUUAUUUUGUUACUGAGAGGAAUAUGCACAGCACAUAUUUACGUAUUCAUUUAAACAUCACUUUCAUCAGAGUGGGCAGUAUCGGGAUGUUCGCUAACAGUAUACUGCUGCUCACGUAUUACAAACUUCAUUUUACCCCUAAACGAAGAAUGAAAAAUAACUUUGUUUUGAGUAUAUCGGGGCCUUAAUUCAUUCAAGUCUCCCAAAAAGGCUGGUUGUCCAAUUAAGACAAAUACAUAAGAAGACUGGAGUCUCAAUGGGCAAUCAGUUCAACACUGCAGCUGGAAUUGGUUGCCAGUUCAGCGGUAAACAGGGUAAGGAUCUGUCUCGGUAUGUUUAAGAGAAGUCACACUGAAAGUGUACUCUGCAGUGACCAGGCCUUUCAGCAGAAAGAAUCAAUGGGUCAAGCUCACCUUUGCUAAAGAGCAUGUUGUGUGGAGAGAGGAGAACCAAUCCAAAGUUCACUUUAGUGACGAGAGCAAGUUUAAUUUAUUUGAGUCAGAUGGGAAACAUUAUGUUCAUCGUAAACAAGUCAGUGAAAACUGGAAGAGGAAGUGUCAAGGUUUAGGGGAUGUUUUCUGCAGCAGGAGUUUGGCCUCUUAUACAGACACAUGGCAGUGAGUGAAUGCAAAUGUUUAUCAGAGUUUCCUUCAGCAACAUGCAGUUUAUUCCCUGCAAGCAUCUCCCAAUUACUUGCAAUUUUCAUGCAAGACAACACUCCCAAAACUGUCCCACUGCAAAACAGGCAAAGCAGUUUCUUGAAGCUGAAAACAUUGAAAUAAUGAAAUGAGAGUCCUGAUCUAAACCCUAGCUGUAAAUCUCUGGGAAGUCCUUGGCUUCAAAGGUGGCUAAGAAACCCACUACAGUUACCGAAAUAUGGAAGAGAGUGGAAGAGAGUGGACCAAGAUCACACCAGCACAGUGUGUAGUGGCAGCAGAUGUGCUGAAGUCAUUCAAAGCAAGGGCCUCUACUCUUCCUAAUAAUUUCUGACAGCUGUAACCCUCCAAAAUUUUAGUUGAAUCUUCUUUUGUGCUACAGUGGUUGCUGUUCUCUAAUUUUGAUCACUGUAUUUUCCACAAAAUAAAGGUUUUUGUUGAAAUGCGUUGGAUAUAUUUCUACAUGUCAGUAGAACAGGGAUUUCUCCACAGUUAAUAUUCCUUCAAAUUUUGAGCUAUAAAGAUAAACAAUAUUUCAGAAAAAAAUGUAGUAUUUAUAGAUUGUAUA